AAUGAACGCUGGCGGCGUGCAUAACACAUGCAAGUCGAACGAGAAACCCCGGCUUGCCGGGGGAGUAAAGUGGCGAACGGGUGAGUAACGCGUGGGAACGUGCCCUUUGGUUCGGAAUAGCCCUGGGAAACUGGGAGUAAUACCGGAUGUGCCCUUCGGGGGAAAGAUUUAUCGCCAAAGGAUCGGCCCGCGUUGGAUUAGGUAGUUGGUGGGGUAAUGGCCUACCAAGCCGACGAUCCAUAGCUGGUUUGAGAGGAUGAUCAGCCACACUGGGACUGAGACACGGCCCAGACUCCUACGGGAGGCUG
rnacentral:rRNA from 1 species